rnacentral:rRNA from 1 species
GUGUCAGCAGCCGCGGUAAUACGUAGGGAGCAAGCGUUGUCCGGAAUCAUUGGGCGUAAAGAGCGUGUAGGCGGCCCGGUAAGUCGGUUGUGAAAGUCAAGGGCUCAACCCUUGAAAGCCGACCGAUACUGCCGGGCUAGAAUCCGGAAGAGGCGAGUGGAAUUCCUGGUGUAGCGGUGAAAUGCGCAGAUAUCAGGAGGAACACCAAUGGCGAAGGCAGCUCGCUGGGACGGUAUUGACGCUGAGACGCGAAAGCGUGGGGAGCAAACAGGAUUAGAUACCCCGGUAGUCC